GGGGCGCAACAAUGAUUCCUGAGCACCCCUGUGAGGCUGUCAGAACCCUCAGCAAUCAUCACCACCACAGGAAACACUGCUCCUGGCCACGGAGCAGCUGGCCCCCUCCCUACUCUCAUGGUUGGGCAAGAAGUUUAGUCUCCCAGCCCCAGUACCAGGAUCACAGCAUUCAGCCAAGGUUAUGUUGCCAAGUCCAAGCUCAUUCUGCCUGCCUGAUGCACAGUGAACAAAUAUUGAAACACCAGAGGCUGGGACAGAGGUUUAUUACAGGACCACGGAAGGAGAACCAGUGACCUGUGCACAAAAAACCCUGAACUCCCCCAGAUGGUUUCAGCAAAGCCUUUUUAAGGGCCAAGUGCAGAAAGUGGGUCACAGGGUAUGUGAUCAGCUCCUACACAGUUCUCCGACUGGUUGAUGGUGAGGUAACAGCUCCUACACAGUUCUCUGACUGGCUGAUGUUCAUCUGGGUGAAUGCCAACGAGGGGAACUGCUGAGACACAUGGUAAGACUAUGUGUAACUUAGUAAGAAACCGCCGCACCAUCUUCCCCUGUGGCUGCACUACUCUGCAUUCCCACCAGCAGUGAAUCAGCGCUCUGUUGCUCCACAUCCUUGCUGAUAUUUGGUGUUGUCAGUGUUCUGGGUUUCGGCCAUUCUAGUCCCAAGUCACGUGAAUCACGGGAAAGCUCAGAAACCACUGCAAAAUCCAAGAGCAUCUAUGUGAAGCCCACAUCACCAUCUGUGGCCACUACCAGAGGAAGGAGAAAGCAGAUUUCACCUUACUGUCAUCUCGCUCGUGCAUCACAGUUUCAGGCCUGCAGCAUAUUAUGUGCUUAAUGUGGACCAAAGUGCAGAAAGAUUUACAGCACUUCUACAGCAAGAUGCCCCUUUAAGCGUCCACCUGCCGCCACCACUCAGGAAUCAUAACUCUAACAAACUAAAGAUUAUUCCUUGAGCCCAUAAACCAAAGGCAAAUGAACUUGUGUUGGGUUUGGAAGACAACAACAGACUCCCGUUAAAGGAAGACGGCUCUCGUAGCAGCUGGAAUCACCAACGAGACUGAAACAGCAUUUUCUUUGAAGAAGAUUAUAGCACUACAAAGCUAAUCCCAUUUCAUCCUGAUGAGAACCUCACGGGCUUCCUUUCUGCAUACGUGUAUUAAGAGCUUUAUCCAUGAGCGAGUACAAUGCACCUGUCAGAGGCUCUUCCUCCCACACCUGCCUGCCUUCCUCCUCUCUUGACAUGGUGUCAGACCCACACUGUGGUCUGAAGUCUUGCCCAGCCCCUGCCUGCUUCCCUCUGGCUUACCUUCACUGCAUUUUCCCCAACACAUUUCUCACCCUUGUAACUGGGCUCAGCGUACACUUGCUGGAUGACCUGAACGAAUACAGCUAUGACAGCUGCUGGACGCAACGUGGGCUUUGUUCUUGAGAAAGGAGCCCUUCCCUCUUUUUGCCCACCCCCCAUUUUCACAUUGCUGAAGGGAUGGGAUGGAGGGAUAAAGAAUGGUAGGGGGAUAAGGAAUGUUUAUCGCCAAGAAGGCUGGAUUGGGGAUGCCAGCUGUUUACAGCGGUUGUCUGAGGAUGCCAGCUGCUCCAAUUCUGUGUGAAAUCUGGCUCUUGAGUGCCGGGGUCCAGCCCUGGUGGAUCCAGGGAAUUCGAAGGGUGGACGGCGUUGGCGUGGAAAGACUUGUUUAUUUAUUAAUAUAAGAUUAGAUUAAGAAACUAUAGUGUAGUAAGAAGAUUAAGUGGAAGAAGAGGGCUGAAUAGCUUGGUUUACGCGGAAGACCAAUAAAAUUCCAGGCAAGGAAUUUGCACCAUCUACGUUGGGCCACCGGUGCCCGCUUGAAUAUCUAAGGGUGCCUCGCCUUAAGCUCCCUUUCGCACGGGUCUUAACAGCCAGGGCAAGUAAGUAGACCUGGCGAGCCUCCGCGCCCCAGGUGGAGAUUCAGCCUGAAGUUAAAGUAAAGAGCAGAGAGAGGGAAAGGAGAGAAGGAGAGAGAGAAAAAGACACGGGGGGAGCCAGAGUCCCAAGAAACCAGGCCGAGAGACUGGUCCGAGAAGCUGGCCCCCUCCUUUAUUGUUCAGAAGGCCUUUUAUACUUUUGAUAAAACAUGGAGAUCAAUGGGUAACACAAAAUUAUGUAGCGUUCGCAGCUCAGAUUCUUUCCGUAUAUCAUUUUGUAUACAAAAGGUCUCAGGUGAUUUACAUUAUCUUCUGGCCAAGAGGCUUGUUAACACUUGUUGGCUCUCUUCCUUAAUGAAUGUUAAUUUUGUUUCCCCUGAAGUGUUUUUCUUUAAUUUGCAUCUCCUUAAAGCAUUAAAGUUAC
ensembl:lncRNA